GCUAUGUAGCUCAGUUGGUUAGAGCACCGCACUCAUAAUGCGGGGGUCACAGGUUCAAGUCCCGUCAUAGCC
rnacentral:tRNA from 4 species